rnacentral:rRNA from 1 species
AUGACGUCAAAUCAUCAUGCCCUUUAUGACCUGGGCUACAAACGUACUACAAUGGCCAAUACAAAGAGAUGCGAAGCGGUGACGUGGAGCGAACCUCAGAAAGUUGGUCUCAGUUCAGAUUGAAGUCUGCAACUCGACUUCAUGAAGGCGGAAUCGCUAGUAAUCGCGGGUCAGCAGACCGCGGUGAAUACGUUCCCGGUUU